AGUGGGAUAGCUGGGUCAAAUGAUGGUUAUGUUCCCAGUUUUCCAAGGAUUCUCCAAACUGCUUUCCAAAUUGGCCGAACCAAUUUGUAGUCCCACCAGCAGU
rnacentral:pre_miRNA from 1 species